GACGAACGCUGGCGGCGUGCUUAACACAUGCAAGUCGAACGGAAAGGCCCUGCUUUUGUGGGGUGCUCGAGUGGCGAACGGGUGAGUAACACGUGAGUAACCUGCCCUUGACUUUGGGAUAACUUCAGGAAACUGGGGCUAAUACCGGAUAGGAGCUCCUGCUGCAGGGUGGGGGUUGGAAAGUUUCGGCGGUUGGGGAUGGACUCGCGGCUUAUGAGCUUGUUGGUGGGGUAGUGGCUUACCAAGGCUUUGACGGAUAGCCGGCAUGGGAGGGUUGACGGCGACAAUAGGACUACGGGACGCAGCAGAGUGGUAUGGGGGGCAAAAGUGGAAAGUCUUGUACAAUGAGGGGGAGCGUGAGAAAGAGGCCUCCGGAUCGGGAAGCCCGCUAAGGGGGUAGGAACCGCAUUAAGUUGAGACGUAGCUGGAGUGACGGUAACAGCAGAAGAAGCACCGGCUAACUACGUG
rnacentral:rRNA from 1 species